rnacentral:lncRNA from 1 species
CAUACUAUAUCAUCAUUACAAGUCAAAGUAAUAGAUAUUAAGUGACCCAAUGGGUUAAUCCAACGAACCGACCCGGUCCUAUAGGAUUAAAUAAAGUUAACACAAUGACUAGGUCCAACGAGCCCCAUAGCUUAAAUAUAAAAGCCCAACGGAUUAAAUUAAUAAGUGAGCCCAAUUUAGCUGGCCCAAAUAGGAGAAAUAUCAUGACCCAACAUAAAGGCUUUUCAAGAUCUUCAUUAAAUCAUGUCUCAAGUGCAGCCAUAUCCUUUUUCAUACAUGAUCCAUGAAGCAAACAAAGAUUAAAUUUUUUUGUGAACUUCGGGAGUUGGGCUUCAGGUUUGGGAGAUGAUAAUGGAUGUCUUCAGGACUUGGCUUUGGGAUCGAGUUCCUAGCUACGGAUCGGUUCGGCUUCGGGAUGGCAAAUGACUUCGGAUCAGAUUUCGGAUGUCUUUGGCUUCGGAUGGCGGAAGGUUUGGGGUCAGAUGGUUGGAAGGCUUCGGGAUCAGAUAUCUUUGUUCCUUGAUUUUGGAAUUUUUAGGCAUGCUCUGUGCUAGCUCAAUUAGAUUGAUUCCUCUCAUAAUACUAGUUUCAAUUCCAUCAGAUUUAGGUCUCAGAAUCCCCACUAAAUAUUCUCAAGGAAAAUGGGAUUUUGUGAACUGGGUUCUUGCUAAUCUCCCAUUUAUUUGAAGAAUUAUUGGUUUUCUUGAAGUGGUUUUGGUCAAUUUUUGUGCCUUUGGAUGUAAAGAUGUAAUUUUGUAAUUGAGAUUUUGGGUUGUGAUGAUUUGGUUGGUUUAUAUAUGGGUUCUUUUUCUAUGUUAUUGAAUUUGAAGUAGAGAGAAGGGAAGGGAUUAUGGUUUCUGUUGAAGAGAAAAGCUCAACCCAGCUGGGUUGAUCAAUGAGGCACUCUACGAUAACAUUCUCUACUUUGUAUUAAAUUUAUAUUCUAUCAUUCGUACUUUGUAUUAAUUCAUAAAUUCAAUUCUUCCAGAAUUCAAUCAUUCAUAAUUCAACCCAAACAAAUUACUUCUGCCAUUUCCAAAUCGAGUUGUCUGCUUUGUCAAAUAGAGGAGAGAAAAAAAUGUUGUGAAUUUGAAAAUGGAAAGGCUGAUCCGCAGUUUAAUACUAAGUAUGUCGUUUGAUUUUUAUAAGGAAAAGCAUUUUGGUCUUCUCUCCCCUCCGCAGUAUUAAACUGCGGAAUACUGAAAACUAAACUGCAAACGUGAAUUCUAUUAAUCCGUUCAAUUUUCGGAUGGAGGGUCAUGAUAUGUUGUAAGACUAGACUUUUUUUUACAAUGUUUACUAUAAAUCGGUCCCCAUAUAUAUAUAUAUAUAUAUAUAUAUAUAUAUAUAUAUAUAUAUAUAUAUAUAUAUAUAUAUAUAUAUAUAUAUAUAUCAAGAGGUUAACGAUUCAAAUUCAAGGUUGGAUGAUAAAUCUCUAUUAUCCAACUCAUCUCUAACCCUUUAAAAAGGUUUUUAUAUAAAAAAAUCUUUCAUUAUAAUUUUAUACAAAACUUACGACGUUUUGUUGAGUAACGUUAAUUAGUCAAACUUGACUAAUGUAUGUCUUAGAUUAUCUUUCCCUUAUAUAUAUGUAUGAGACUGAUCUAUAGUCAACGUUGUAAAUUUAAGGUUAUCUUUACAACACAUCGUGACCGUCCAUCCGUUGAUCGAAAGGUUAAAUAGAACCUCAUCCGCAGUUUAAUAUCCAGAUCCAUACCCAACGUCCCAACUCUUCUCAUUGCAAAUUAGUUUUGAAUUAGAGAGUUUGUGAUGCUUUUAUAUGUUAGAUUUAGGCAUAUUUUUGUGGGAGUCUCAUAUUCAUCCGGAGGAAAAAUGUUAAGUGUAUAAGUUGUAUAGAUUCAUCCUAUAUAUCAAAUACAUUUAGAGAGUAUGUCUUGUAUAUAAUGAUUAGGGACAAUUUUUCUCAUUGCAAAUUAGUUUUGAAUUAAAGAGUUUGAUACUUUUAUAUGCUAGAUCUAGGCCCAUUAUAUACAUCUAACAAACACUUUACAUAAUUAAGGAGCUAAUUUUACUCGGAGAGAAUACUUUUUUUUCAUUUACAUAAUUAAGCAAUAAAUUUUACUUGGCUAGAAUCCUAUUUUUUUUCUUGGUCUUUUGUGUAGGUGGUGGAAGAGUACUGGUUUGG